rnacentral:misc_RNA from 1 species
GAUGAAGAACGCAGCGAAAUGCGAUAAGCAAUGUGAAUUGCAGAAUUCAGUGAAUCAUCGAAUCUUUGAACGCACAUUGCGCCCGCCAGUAUUCUGGCGAGCAUGCCUGUUCGAGCGUCAUUUCAACCAUCAAGCCCCAGGCUUGUGUUGGAGCCCUGCGGCUGCCGCAGCCUCCCAAAACCAGUGGCGGGCUCGCUAUCACACCGAGUGCAGUAGUUUACUCUUCGCUCAGGGCGUGUGGCGGGUGCUAGCCGUGAAACCCCCAACUUCUCAAGGUUGACCUCGGAUCAGGUAGGAAUACCCGCUGAACUUAAGCAUAUCAAUAAGCGGAGGA